GACGAACGCUGGCGGCGUGCCUAAUACAUGCAAGUUGAGCGCUGAAGGUUGGUACUUGUACCAACUGGAUGAGCAGCGAACGGGUGAGUAACGCGUGGGGAAUCUGCCUUUGAGCGGGGGACAACAUUUGGAAACGAAUGCUAAUACCGCAUAAAAACUUUAAACACAAGUUUUAAGUUUGAAAGAUGCAAUUGCAUCACUCAAAGAUGAUCCCGCGUUGUAUUAGCUAGUUGGUGAGGUAAAGGCUCACCAAGGCGAUGAUACAUAGCCGACCUGAGAGGGUGAUCGGCAACAUUGGGACUGAGACACGGCCCAAACUCCUACGGGAGGCAGCAGUAGGGAAUCUUCGGCAAUGGACGAAAGUCUGACCGAGCAACGCCGCGUGAGUGAAGAAGGGUUUCGGAUCGUAAAACUCUGUUGGUAGAGAAGAACGUUGGUGAGAGUGGAAAGCUCAUCAAGUGACGGUAACUACCCAGAAAGGGACGGCUAACUACGUG
rnacentral:rRNA from 1 species